UUAAAAUCAAUUCUUUCACUAAGGCAUCAAAAGAUGUUUUGAACCGUUUAGGCUCUGAGGAGUUAGAGAUGACAAAAUAAAUGGUUGAACAAAUGGAACAUAAAACAAACUAGACUGGUUUUUUUUUGUUUUUUUUAAAUUUUAUAAUUUAAGGUGGUAGUACCCUUUAAGAGUAAAAAAAUUUAAAACUUGAUAUUAUAUGGAAACAUUUAUGUUUUUCUGAAAUGUUAGAUUAAAUUAUUUUAAAAAAUAACAAAAUUAUUUUUUUUUACCCUCCUGCUCAAUAAUUAUGCGUAUAAAUUAGCAAAAUUUAGGCAAAAAAAUUGACCUUUUUUUAACAAGAAUAUCUUGAGAACCAUACAUGUUCUACAAACCAAAUUUUGUAAGUAGUUUUAUAUAUGUUCAAAAAAUGUGCUGAAUUAAAAAUUAUAUAAUAAACAAUAUUUAAUAACUUUAAAAUCAUUAUAUUUUAUCAAUAAAAAGAAAAAAGUAUAAGUACAGCUUGCUAAAGUACAAAUUUUAAUACUUUAAUAUAAAAAAAAGUUAAUUUUCUUUGGUUCAGCACAUUACAAAUACAUUCAAGAAUAAUUGCUGAAAAUUUGACAAAAAUUCAAUGAGCAGUUAAAAAGUUAUCUUUGUUAAAAAAUUAAAAGAUACACAAAAAGUUAAACACAAGAAAAAUGCAAUUUAAAAAAAUACUAAAAGCACAUUAAGUUUUUUUACACAAUCAAACCUACUAAAAACCACCACUGUUGUAAUCAACAUCUUCUGCUUCAUUAUGUUAGUCAAUAAAGCCUUUUUUAAUGGCCCCUAACUUUUUCCUCCUGUUUUUUGUGGCACCUGUACUUUUUAUCUCAUCCUGUUUAAUGUGUACAUAAUCUACAUUUAGAGAACUUUUAGUUGUAAAAUAUCCAGGCAAAACAUUACAUUAUUCAAAUGCUGGUAGUAAACCCUGAACUCCAUUAAUAAAGCUAAUUAUUGUAUAGGCCAAAUCUCAUUAACUGUUCUUUCCACAUGAACUCUUUUGAGUGCGCGAGUCCAAACCAUCUCAUCUAGCAAUUCAUUAACAUUUUGAGUUUAACCAUGUAAACCUUUCUUGAGCAACACAUCAUUGCCAAGAACUAUUUCUAAAUAAUUUCUUCUUUGUAUGAAUUUGCAUCACAAACUUGCAUAUAAGAAUUGGUAUCUCCAUCAGCAAUGUAUUUCAUGUACUUUUAAGCUCUUUAACAGAUCGGUUGAAUAUUUGUAGAUCGCCUAAAAAUUUUUACUUGGUACAAAAACAAGUCUUUAACCCAAGAAUGUUUAAAAUUAUUAUUAAUCUUUACCAAACAUCAUGUUGAGAGGUUCACGUUCUAUUAACAGUAGUUUAAUUAGAUAUUUAAUCAAUAAUCUUUUAUAUGUCAGGUGUUUUUUAUUACUUAGCUCCAUAAACUACUUCCUGAGCUACUUUAUGAUUAAUGUGUGAUCUUCCAGUUCUCGUAAGCUGGAAUACCUCUCUUCUUAAACAUAUCUUACAGGGGUAACAAUUUUUUGUUUCAGCAACAGCAUCAAUACAAUUUCCAUGAGAUAUUGCUGUGACUAUACUAUUUAUUGAGAAGUUUCUUCUGUGCUGAACCAUCUAUGGAGCCAUGAUGAACCAUCUAAACUAACAGCAACACUGACAGUUGAUGAUUCAUCCUAAUUUUCAAUUUCAAAAGUUUUUCAUUACGUAUGUUCUGUUUGUACUCACUCUAGAGGUUUCAAAAUAAGCAACAGGAAGUUUAUUAUUAAUAUUAUGGUAACCACGUUUUGUCAUACCAAAAGACAUAUUCAUUAAAUAACAAAAAGUAAUAAUUGCUAUGUAUCCUUGCCCAAUAUCUCGAAAAGCUAACACAGUACAUAGGUUAACUUCUCUCCUUUUUUACCUUUGAUUACUUCAUUUUUAUUUUCUAUUCAUUUUGAAGUUAAAAAAUUUAUCGUUCAUGUAAAAUCUUGACAAGAAGUGUGAGAAAGAAUCUCUUUUUGAUAAAUAUCGUGUACAAUAUUGAUUGACGAAUAACAUUCUAGAGCAUCUUUCAAUUGCCUUCAACAAACUUGAAAAUAAAUAUAAGUUUAUAAUUGUAUUACACUCUUUUUCUAUAUUAUAAAGUUUUCCACAUCUACUAGAUGUGGAAAACUUUAUAAUAUAGAAAAAGAUCUAGAUGAUCUAGAUAAGUUUUUUUUUCCAGAUACCAAUUAACUUACAUUGUUUGGUGAAAGUGCAGACAAAACAGUUUGUUGUAAAGCAUGUGAAUUAUUUAGAGAAUAUUUUUUUAAUUUAUGAAGUUUUCUUUUUUUUACUCUUGCUUUAGCAUAUCUAUUUUUUUGAACGCAUUUAUAAGGAAACUUAUCCUUGCGGCGAACGUGACGUCACUUUAACUAACUAAACGGCUACCAUUAUGGUAUGGGGGCAAACAAAGCGCUUGAAAAUAGAGAAAUGUGUUUUUGAUUGUUCAAUUAAUGUUAAUAGUCAUCCGAACUUGAUUUUUUAUAUUUUGCUUCCUAAUCCAAAGAGAAGAAAAUCGUGGUUUUAUGCUUUAUAUAGAAUUGAUUCAUCUUGCAAACAAACUUUGGUCGCAAAACAUGUCUUGUAUUUGAAUAUUAUGUACAAAAAAGUCAUUGCAAUAAAUCUCAAGUUAUUAAAGUCAGUGAACAAAUAAGUACUGACAAUUCGUUGACUGGAGUGGAAGAUGUUAGUGUCUUGAACCAACAUGAAACAACAUGAGAAUGAUGGUAGUUUAAAAAUAAUGCAGCAUUAGCUAGGUAAGUGAUUAUGUGUAUGUUGGCUCACUCAUAAGUCAAUAUAUAUGUGUUUAUGUUCUGUGGCGACCUCUGGUGUCAUGUUGGCUCACCCUUAAGACAUUAUGUGUGUUUGUGUUCUGUUUCAACCUCUAGUGCGGUGUUGAUUCACUUGAUUGUUCUUAGAUCACAAAAACAAUCUUACAAAUAGAGUUUCUGCUGUUGUCACUGGUUUUAGAGAGUACCUUCGUGAAUGAAGAUAAAAAGUCAUUUAUAUUAUUUUUUAAAAGCCAAGACAUUAUAUUGUUAAUCCUCAUACCAUUUACUAAAAAACUUUAUAAAUAUUGUUACGAUGUUAUAAUUCAAAUUGUUGUAAUUAGUAAUUUUGAUCAUUUCAUUAUUAUACUGUAAAAAAUAUUUUUAUUUAUAACAUUUAUUUCACAUAUAUUAAAAACAUGAGGAAUAAAUAUUACACUGAGGAAAAUUUUAAGCAAAAUAUAGAAUUUUUAAAUGUUAUUAGAAUAUCAAUAUGUAAUAUUUUUGUUUUAUUUAUUGACUACAUCUGUAAACUGGCAAUAAUUUCAAAAUGAUGAAUUAAUUGAAUUCCAUGAUUCCUAAAAGCAUUUGGACAGAUUUAUUUCAAUAUAACGUUAAAUUUUGGGCGGACUUUAAAACGGCGCACCCCAAACUCGGUAAACAACGAAAAUUUUCGUUACGAAAAUUAAAAGUCGAUUUUCAUUGGCUAAUAAAUUAAAUUAGACUUAUGCACGUUUUCAACUUUUCAGUACACGACAACUUCAAGCAAGACUACUUCUUUGGCAGAAUUUAUUGAAAGCAUUAAAGAAAAAAGGCUAAUAAAUUUUCUCCAUCAAAACAGACUAAUCCAUGUUCGCAAAUCUUGUAUCUGUGGUCAAUUCAAAGAUUUGAGCGGUGUCUAGAUAAACACAUUUGGCGAUGCAGCAGCUGUAAGAAGACAAAAACACGAAGUGGUUUUUUUGAAUGUUCAACAUCUUUAAGUAGCGAAUACUCAAAUUUUCUCAAAUGAUCACAUACUGUGUUACACUGAUGACAAGAAGAUACACAUACUUAUGAUGAGAAGAAUAUACAUUGAGGAAAAGCUUAAAACAAUGAGAUUAAGAAAAAAGAUAUUUGAAGAUUGAAAGAUGAUGAAUUAAAAAAAGUUUAUGAAAGAAAAGUAAACUGAAGAAUAUCAGAACAUUUAUUUUGAAAAGCAAUAAUAUAUUGUAAUAAUUUAUUUGAGAUUUGAAACUGUUAACACCUAUACAUAAAUUUUUUUCAAAUGUUUUUUGUAAAUUUUUAACUUAUUACAAAACAUUUCUCAAGUA